GACGAACGCUGGCGGCGUGCUUAACACAUGCAAGUCGAACGGAAAGGCCCUGCUUUUGUGGGGUGCUCGAGUGGCGAACGGGUGAGUAACACGUGAGUAACCUGCCCUUGACUUUGGGAUAACUUCAGGAAACUGGGGCUAAUACCGGAUAGGAGCUCCUGCUGCAUGGUGGGGGUUGGAAAGUUUCGGCGGUUGGGGAUGGGCUCGCGGCUUAUCAGCUUGUUGGUGGGGUAGUGGCUUACCAAGGCUUUGACGGGUAGCCGGCCUGAGAGGGUGACCGGCCACAUUGGGACUGAGAUAUGGCCCAGACUCCUACGGGAGGCAGCAGUGGGGAAUAUUGCACAAUGGGCGGAAGCCUGAUGCAGCAACGCCGCGUGCGGGAUGACGGCCUUCGGGUUGUAAACCGCUUUCGCCUGUGACGAAGCGUGAGUGACGGUAAUGGGUAAAGAAGCACCGGCUAACUACGUG
rnacentral:rRNA from 1 species